ensembl:lncRNA
UUAACUUUGAGCCAAAGGGCAAUGUACAGAUUCGACUGACAGCAAGACAUAAGGUUUUAUUCCUCUCUUCGAUCAGCAAAGCGCAUAACAACAUGUACAAUUCGUGCGGUCUCCUUUUCCUUUCAUUUGGAUUUACCAUGCUGGAGUUCAUCACCUGUGACAGCGAUGGAUCUUUAUUGGCGGGUGAAUGUCAAAGAAUGGAUAUCAAUCAUGGUAAACCAGCACAAAACGGUGAAGCCCCCUUCAAGAUCGAACCAGAAUAUAAAGAAGUGACAGAUUCUGAACUGGGAAAGAACAUUAUUGUCUCGCUUAGGGCUUCGGCUCAAUUUAAAGGUUUCAUGUUGGACGCUCGUAAGUGUGAUGAGUGUGCGUCUGCUGGCAGGUUUCAUUUAAUCCAGACUGAACCGGACAACAGCAUACUCAUCUGUGAUGACCGUGUUGUGGCUCAAAGUAAUAACCAAAGAAAAACGAUAGUUAAUGUGUUGUGGAUCCCCGAAGAGACUGGAGUGUUUUUCUUCAGAGCUGCUUUCGUUGAAGAUUUCAGUAUUUUUUGGCUAAGGAAGCCGAUCAUACUCACGACGACUGCAUCACCCACCACUGAAUCCACCAGUCACAGUACACAAACAAGUCCAACAGUUGCACUAGCAUCGCCGCCUCAGUGUCUACAAUAUAUGAGAUAUGCUUUAGCACUGUUAUUAUUCAGUCGACUGUGUUUUCUUGGAGGCUCUUCUCUCCUGAUGAUUUUCAGACCAGCGUCAAAAAUGGCCACCAUGAUUGCGUCUGUCUUUGAACCAGCCUCCAAAACUAUUGCUGUCAUCUUCGUACUAAUAAAACUAAUUAAAUAUGAGUGUGCGUGUGAGUGUGAUAGUUUGCAGAUUGUGUUUAGUGCUUUGACAGUGGCUGCCAUGGUUUCAAGCCUGCUGCACACUCUCACCGUUUUCCUUUACUGUGGACCAAGCCAUGAAUUAAGGAAGUGUUGGCUCUGUGCCAUUAUAAUUGUUGGCCUAAUGAAUACUAUCAUUACAAGUAAGGUUCAGUUUUUCACAUUCUUUAAUAGUGCAUUAAAGUAUUUUGUAAAAAUUUUGUUCGUAGUAUAUAUUGCUUUUUCCAUUACUUUGGAGAUUGGUGUAGGUGUAAAUAUUCAUGUAAAAUCUCAUGCAAACUUAUUAAAAACGAAUUCAGAUUUACCUAAUAAUGAAUCAUUAGGUUAUAAUCCUCUUUUUUUAUUUUUUUGUACUGUAGCAACUGCAAUAUUCUUUGAAAUAUGGUGCUUUCAAGAGCGCUGGCUGCCAUUAUUAAUGGGAGUUUUUGUUGUUUGGGAGUUCAUGCUUUAUCUUGGCUCAGUUUGCUGUGAACAGAUGGAAAAAUACAGGUCAAGAAGUAAGUAUUCUUGGUACCAACCAACUCAAGGCACUAGUGAGAUUAACACACAAACCUCAUAAAUAAACUUUAUGGACUUUUAAAGAAUUCAUGUGUUAUUAGUCACACCCAGGCACAGUUGUGUGUACUUCCUUAUGCAUGAUAUCCACAGUAAAAAACGAUCCAUAUAGAUCCAUAUCGCAAUCUAUUUUAAUAAUGUCCAUACAGUCUCAUUUGUUUGCAUUUGUAUGUCUGCAGAAAAUCAGAAUCGUACUGCGGAAAAGAGGGUAAGUGAACUUUACAUUUUCUUGUCGUAUAUAUUAUAUUUGUGUACAUAGAGCCAUUCCAUGUUCAUGUAAACUGCUUAUUAUUACACAUGUAUUUGACUAAAACAUAAACUUUACAGAGUAUAGCAGCUCCACAAAUAUUUUAUGGCACCAGACCAUCAACAUCUUAGGAACUCACUAAAAUAACAAUGCAUGCACACUGAUAUUAUUAUCUUAAAUGUUACACAUUAAACCUCUUUUUUAUUUUCAGAUAUCCCCAUGGUUGUUUAUGUUCAUCAUCUUUUCAGUGUUUAAUGCAAUGUUUACAGCUGCACUCAUAACAGGAGUGUCUUUGGUCAAAACGAAAAAUAGUUGAAGGAACGUCUGCAGAUUAGUGAAUAUGAUAUCUUGGUAUGUUUGCAAUUUGGGUGUAACUUUUUACAGCCCUAGUACAUCAGUAAUUGUUCAAAGGUAUAUGAAUAACAACUUUAUUGGAGUCAGAUUAAUUGUACUGAUGUCAGAUAAAUAGCUGAAUUAUCAUCUUUCAACUGCUUUUAUAUAUAUAUAUGUAUAUGUAUAUAUAUAUAUAUAUAUAUAUGUAUAUGUAUGUGUAUGUAUAUAUAUAUAUAUAUAUAAUUCAACUGCUGUUCACACUAAGAAUGAUGAUAACUAUAACAAUAAAGUUUUAAUUAUUGUUCUAAUUGUAUGAGAA